GAUGAACGCUGGCGGCGUGCCUAAUACAUGCAAGUCGAGCGAACAGACGAGGAGCUUGCUCCUCUGACGUUAGCGGCGGACGGGUGAGUAACACGUGGAUAACCUACCUAUAAGACUGGGAUAACUUCGGGAAACCGGAGCUAAUACCGGAUAAUAUAUUGAACCGCAUGGUUCAAUAGUGAAAGACGGUUUUGCUGUCACUUAUAGAUGGAUCCGCGCCGCAUUAGCUAGUUGGUAAGGUAACGGCUUACCAAGGCAACGAUGCGUAGCCGACCUGAGAGGGUGAUCGGCCACACUGGAACUGAGACACGGUCCAGACUCCUACGGGAGGCAGCAGUAGGGAAUCUUCCGCAAUGGGCGAAAGCUUGACGGAGCAACGCCGCGUGAGUGAUGAAGGGCUUCGGAUCGUAAAACUCUGUUAUUAGGGAAGAACAAAUGUGUAAGUAACUAUGCACGUCUUGACGGUACCUAAUCAGAAAGCCACGGCUAACUACGU
rnacentral:rRNA from 1 species